AACGUCGGAGAGAACGAAGGGACGCAACGGAGGCAGGCCGGAGCCGCUGCCGUUGCCAUGACGCGCUGCCGUCGCCAUGACCCGCGGUAACCAGCGCGAGCCCGCCCGCCAGAAGAAUAUGAAAAAGCAGAGCGACUCGGUUAAGGGAAAGCGCCGAGAUGACGGGCUUUCUGCUGCCGCCCGCAAGCAGAGGGACUCGGAGAUCAUGCAGCAGAAGCAGAAAAAGGCAAACGAGAAGGAGGAACCCAAGUAGCUUUGUGGCUUCGUGUCCAACCCGCUUGGCCUUCGCCUGUGUGCCUGGAGCCAGUCCCACCACGCUCGCGUUUUCUCCUGUAGUGCUCACAGGUCCCAGCACCGAUGGCAUUCCCUUUGCCCUGAGUCUGCAGCGGGUCCCUUUUGUGCUUCCUUCCCCUCAGGUAGCCUCUCUUCCCCUGGGCCACGCCUGGGGGUGAGGGGGUCACCCCUUCCCAGUGUUUUUUAUUCCUGUGGGGCUCACCCCAAAGUAUUAAAAGUAGCUUUGUAAUUUCAAAAAAAAAAAAAA